AUUUAUCAAAGGGAGUCCCAAAUAGGACGAAACGCGCGUCCUGGAU
rnacentral:hammerhead_ribozyme from 1 species